rnacentral:rRNA from 1 species
AGCGAACGCUGGCGGCAGGCCUAACACAUGCAAGUCGAACGAAGUCUUCGGACUUAGUGCCGGACGGGUGAGUAACACGUGGGAACGUACCUUUUGGUUCGGAACAACUCAGGGAAACUUGAGCUAAUACCGGAUGAGCCCUUAGGGGGAAAGAUUUAUCGCCGAAAGAGCGACCCGCGUUAGAUUAGCUAGUUGGUGAGGUAAAGGCCCCCCAAGGCUACGAUCUAUAGCUGGUCUGAGAGGAUGAUCAGCCACACUGGGACUGAGACACGGCCCAGACCCCUACGGGAGGCAGCAGUGGGGAAUCUUGCGCAAUGGGCGAAAGCCUGACGCAGCCAUGCCGCGUGAAUGAUGAAGGUCUUAGGAUUGUAAAAUUCUUUUACCAGGGACGAUAAUGACGGUACCUGGAGAAAAAGCCCCGGCUAACUUCGUGCCAGCAGCCGCCGUAAAAC